rnacentral:rRNA from 1 species
GACGAACGCUGGCGGCGUGCUUAACACAUGCAAGUCGAACGGAAAGGCCAUGCUUUUGUGGGGUGCUCGAGUGGCGAACGGGUGAGUAACACGUGAGUAACCUGCCCUCGACUUUGGGAUAACUUCAGGACACUGGGGCUAAUACCGGAUUGGCGCUCCUGCUGCAUGGUGGGGGUUGGAAAGUUUCGGCGGUUGGGGAUGGACUCGCGGCUUAUCAGCUUGUUGGUGGAGUAGUGGCUUACCAAGGCUUUGACGGGUAGCCGGCCUGAGAGGGUGACCGGCCACAUUGGGACUGAGAUACGGCCCAGACUCGUACGGGAGGCAGCAGUGGGGAAGAGUGCACGAUGGGCGGAAGCCUGGUGCAGCAACGCCGCGUGCGGGAUUACGGCCUUCGUGUUGUAAGCCGCUUUCUCCUGUGACGAAGCGUGAUUGACGGUAAUGGAUAAAGAAGCACCGGCUAACUACGUG